rnacentral:rRNA from 1 species
AUGGAGGAGUUAACCUCCAGCCACCUCCUCAGCCUUCUUCUCUGCUCGUUCUUGGCCCUUUCUCCCAUAGCCUUUGCUGCUGAGGUUACUGACACGCUCGGCAAGGGCCAGAAUGUCAGUGAUGGCGAGACACUCGUCUCAGCCGGUGGGUCAUUCACCCUGGGGUUCUUCUCCCCUGGGGUGGCUGCCAAGAGAUAUCUUGGUAUAUGGUUCACCAUGUCCGAGGACGUCGUCAGUUGGGUAGCCAACGCUGACCGUCCUCUCACUGACGCUUUUGGGGUGUUGGUGAUCAGUGGCACCGGAAGCCUUCUCCUGCUGGAUAGCUCCGGUCAAGUCGUGUGGUCUUCAAACACGACAGGCACCGGCGUCAUGACAGCGCACUUGCUCAAUUCGGGCAAUCUGGUCUUGAGCGACGGAAGCGGAGGUGCCGCCAUGUGGCAGUCGUUCGAUCACUUGUCGAACACGCAGCUUCCAGGCAUGAAGAUCGGCAAGAACCUGUGGACUGGUGCAGAGUGGCGGCUUACGUCGUGGCGUUCGCUGAAUGACCCUUCCCCAGGUAACUUCCACUACACGACCAAUUUGGAAGGCGUACCGCAAAACGUUCUCUUGGAUGGUGAUAAAGUGAUAUACCGUACCGGACCAUGGAACGGCCAAUGGUUCAGCGGUGUCACGGAGAUGGCCACAUAUUCAGACAUGUUUGCCUACCAGUUGACAAACACCCCAAGCGAGGUAACCUACGGUUAUGUCGCCAAGCCUGGAGCACCCUUGUCACAUCUACUGCUCACCCACGACGGAGUAUUCCGGCGCCUAGUGUGGGAGCCGAGCAGCUUGGCAUGGAAGGUUUUCUUCCAAGGGCCGAGGGACAUCUGCGACGACUACGGGAAGUGCGGGGCAUUUGGUAUGUGCAAUGCCAAUGCGCCGUCGACGUCAUUCUGCAACUGCAUCAAGGGGUUCAGCCCGACGUCUCCGGUGCAGUGGAAGAUGAGGGGCACCUCCAACGGAUGCCACCGAAACGUCAUGUUGGACUGUGGCAAUGGAACUUCCACCACAGAUGGUUUCGUGGUGAUGCACGGAGUGAAGCUUCCCGAUACACGCAAUGCGUCGGCGGAUGCAAGCAUCACGUUGGAAGAAUGCAGCACGAAGUGCCUGGCGAACUGUUCAUGCCUAGGCUAUGCAGCAUUAGAUAUCCGGGGAGGAGGCGUUGGAACUGGGUGCAUCAUCUGGAAAGAUGACCUCAUGGAUCUGCGGUAUGUAGAUGGAGGACAAACCCUCUAUCUAAGAUCUGCCAAGUCUGAAUUAGCUGAGGUGCGGCACCCAGCAUUUCCAACUGGGCUUAUUAUUGGUCCAUCAAUAGCCUCCCUUGUCGUGGUUCUCUUUGCUCUUUGGUUGUUCGCUGUUGUGAGGAGACGACGACGGGAAUCAAGAAUAUCAGUAGACAAUGCCCAGGGAGGUGCAAAUGGGGCUGGUGCUGAUACUCGCUCCAAUCCUGCUUUGACUGUCCAGUCCGUCCGUGCAGUUGGUCUUCCUACUAUAAUAGAGGCUACAGGAAAUUUCUCUGAAGCAAAUAUCAUCGGUGAGGGCGAAUAUAGUGUCGUCUAUAAGGGGCAGCUACACGAUGAUACAAUAGUUGCUGUGAAGAGGCUGAAACACUAUCGUCUUACUAAUAAAGGCAGGGAACAUUUCUCAAGGGAAGUGGAAAUGAUGUCAAAGCUCAUGCAUGCUAAUCUUGCUAAGCUCCUCUGCUAUUGCCAGGAAGCAGAUGAGUGGAUAUUAGUCUAUGAGUGGAUGGAGCGCCAGAGUUUGAAUCUCUACAUUUUUGGGGAAGAAAACGGAUUCCGUUUCUCACUGAAUUGGGGGCAAAGACUGGGAAUAAUACGUGGGAUCGCCGUAGGUGUUAAAUUUCUUCACGGAGAGGGAUUCAUUCACAGGGAUCUAAAACCUGGCAAUAUACUUGUCAGUGACACGUGGCAUCCCAAGAUAGCGGACUUUGCCACCGCGAAGCUGUUUAUCGACAAGCAGACAAAUCCGACAUUAGUACUGACGCCGGGAUAUGUCGCUCCGGAGUAUUCAUCGGAAGGGGCCCUGACGUACAAGUGUGAUGUAUAUAGUUUUGGAGUCCUGUUGUUGGAGAUAGUCAGUGGAAAAAGGAGAACAAGCAUUCAAACUUUCCUUCUUCAUGCCUGGGAAUUGUGGAAUCAACGCAAGAUCAGGGAGCUUCUUGAUCCGCAAGUGGGUGAACCUAGAGGCGAGGUCUUGUCAGGGCUAGCCAGAUGCAUCCAGAUUGGCCUUCUCUGCGUGCAGCAUUUGCCUGAGCACAGGCCUUCAAUGCCUGAAGUUGUGGCAAUGCUAAGCGGCACCAGCUCACAGCUCCCUACGCCAUGCAAACCCACACCGAACAGCGGAGCAGUACCCGGCACACAACCCGGACCGAGGCAGACCUUCUUACAGUGGCUAUUCCACUCAUGUGGCCGUGACUUCGCGAGCCCACGCAUGGUAGCUACGGUGUAG